rnacentral:lncRNA from 1 species
AUGUCCCAAAAUGUCCCCAAAUUGUUCCCAAAUGUCCCAAAUUGUCCCAAAAUCUCCCCAAAAUGUCCCAAAUGUCCCCAAAUGCCCCAAAUGCCCCAAAAUGCCCUAAAAUUGUCCCCAGAAGGUCCCAAAUUGUCCCCAAAUGGCCCCAAAAUGCCCCAAAAUGUCCCAAAAUUGUCCCAAAAGUCUCUAAAAUGUCACAAAAUGUCCCCAAAAUGUCCCCAAAUGCCAAAAAAUUGUCCCCAGAGGGUCCCAAAUUGUCCCCAAAUGGCCCCAAAAUGUCCCCAAAUGUCCCCAGAGGGUCCCAAAAUGUCCCAAAAACGUCCCCAAAUGUCCCAAAAUGUCCCCAAAUGUCCCCAAAAUGUCCCCAAAUGUCCCCAAAUUGUCCCCAGAGGGUCCCAAAAUGUCCCCAAAUGUCCCCAAAAUGUCCCCAGAAGGUCCCAAAUGUCCCAAAAUUGUCCCCAAAUGUCCCCAAAUGUCCCCAAAUGGCCCAAAUGUCCCAAAAUUCCCUCAAAAUGUCCCCAAAUGCCCCAAAUGUCCCAAAAAUGUCCCAAAAUGUCCCCAGAAGGUCCCAAAUUCCCAAAUGUCCCAAAAAUGUCCCAAAAUGUCCCCAGAAGGUCCCAAAUUCCCUCAAAAUGUCCCCAAAUGUCCCAAAAUUGUCCCAAAAUUGUCCCAAAAGUCUCUAAAAUGUCACAAAAUGUCCCCAAAAUGUCCCCAAAUGCCCCAAAAUUGUCCCCAGAGGGUCCCAAAUUGUUCCCAAAUGGCCCCAAAAUGCCCCAAAAUGUCCCCAAAUGUCCCCAAAAAUGUCCCAAAAUUGUCCCCAGAAGGUCCCAAAUUGUCCCCAAAUGUCCCCAAAAUGUCCCCAAAUGCCCCAAAAUGUCCCAAAUUGUCCCCAAAAAGUCCCAGAAGGUCCCAAAUGUCCCAAAAAUGUCCCCAAAUUGUCCCCAAAUGGUCCCAAAUGUCCCAAAAUUCCCUCAAAAUGUCCCCAAAUGUCCCCAAAAAUGUCCCAAAAUUGUCCCAAAAUUGUCCCCAGAGGGUCCCAAAUUGUUCCCAAAUGUCCCCAAAAUGUCCCCAAAUUGUCCCAAAAUGACCCAAAUGUCCCUAAAAUGUCCCCAAAUGCCCCAAAUGUCCCAAAAAUGUCCCCAAAAUUGUCCCCAGAAGGUCCCAAAUUCCCUCAAAAUGUCCCCAAAUGUCCCAAAAUUGUCCCAAAAGUCUCUAAAAUGUCACAAAAUGUCCCCAGAAUGUCCCCAAAUGUCCCCAAAUGCCCCAAAAUUGUCCCCAGAGGGUCCCAAAUUGUUCCCAAAUGUCCCCAAAAUGCCCCAAAUGUCCCGAAAAUGUCCCCAAAAUGUCCCCAAAUGUCCCCAAAAAUGUCCCAAAAUUGUCCCCAGAGGGUCCCAAAAUGUCCCAAAAAUGUCCCCAAAUGUCCCAAAAUGUCCCAAAAUGUCCCCAAAAUGUCCCCAAAAUGUCCCCAAAUGUCCCCAAAUGCCCCAAAAUUGUCCCCAGAAGGUCCCAAAUUGUCCCCAAAUGACCCCAAAAUGUCCCCAAAUGUCCCCAGAUGUCCCCAGAAGGUCCCAAAUGUCCCCAAAUGUCCCUAAAAUG